GCUCGUCCAUUCGUUGCUGCAAAUCUAUAUCAAACUUUUCAUUUUCACAUUGUGCUGAGUUUCCCAUUCACUUAAAUUCACUUAUGGAUAUUUCUUUAAAGAUUUUUGGCUUCUUUAUGCUAAGAGUCGAAGGCAAUAGCAAAAACUGUGAGUUGUAUUUGACUUUUGUCAGUUGAUUCAGUUUUAUACUGUUUGAAAUUUGUUCCUCGACCUUGCACUUUUGUUCAAAACAAUUUUAAGAACAUUUUGUCCCAAGUUUUGAUUGGCUGAUCAAAGCGAUUAACGCGAGCGAACAUUUUUUUUCGACUUUCGGCGUCUUGUUGUCUAUUUUGUAUACUUGUUGGCUUUCCAAAGUCAUUGUUUGUUUUACAAUAGCUAAAAUUGGGAGUCUUACUGCUUGUUUUCAAACUAUGUAAUAGAAGAAAAGAAGGAGAAAAAGCCAGAGUAUAUAAUAUACUUAACAUCUAAACAUGACACUGGUGUGCGUAAAUAUAGCAAAGCCACGGAAUUACAAGUGAGCAAGUGACCUCAGUGUACCUCAAGACCAAGCCAGUUAAAAGUGAGUUUUUCAUGUUUAUUGGAUUUAAAAAGAUAACUCCUCUACAUGAUUGUGCAUUUUUAUAACUAUCCCAUGCUUUUUCAUCCGAAAUAAUCAUUGUUUUAUCUUCAAACUCCGAGUUUAUCCGCCGUAUAGCGAUUUAAACGGUCUCAAGAGACCGUAUAAGUUUACAUGGUGGAUAGGCAAAAUUUAACCGGUGGAUAGCCCUAAACGGGCUUGAUACAACGCGAUUUCUCGAGCGUUUAAAUUUUAUCCGGCGGAUAGCGAGUUAAACGGUGGUUAGCGAGUUAAACGCCUUUGAUACAACCGGCCCCUGGUUUUAAAA